AUUGAACGCUGGCGGCGUGCUUAACACAUGCAAGUCGAACGCGAAAGGGACUUCGGUCCUGAGUAAAGUGGCGCACGGGUGAGUAACGCGUGGAUAAUCUGCCCUUAUGAUCGGGAUAACAGUUGGAAACGGCUGCCAAUACCGGAUACGCUCAAAAUGAACUUUUUGAGGAAAGAUGGCCUCUGCUUGCAUGCUAUCGCGUAAGGAUGAGUCCGCGUCCCAUUAGCUUGUUGGCGGGGUAACGGCCCACCAAGGCAUCGAUGGGUAGCCGAUUUGAGAGGAUGAUCGGCCACACUGGAACUGAAACACGGUCCAGACUCCUACGGGAGGCAGCAGUGGGGAAUAUUGCGCAAUGGGCGAAAGCCUGACGCAGCGACGCCGCGUGAGGGAUGAAGGUUUUCGGAUCGUAAACCUCUGUCAGAAGGGAAGAAACUACGUUGUGCUAAUCAGCAGCGUACUGACGGUACCUUCAAAGGAAGCACCGGCUAACUCCGUGCCAGCCGCCGCGGUAA
rnacentral:rRNA from 1 species